GCCUGGGUGGCUUAGUUGGUUAAAUGCCUGACUUCAACUCAGGUCGUGAUUCCACAGUUUGUGAGUUCAAGCCCCACUUCAGGCU
rnacentral:tRNA from 1 species